rnacentral:rRNA from 1 species
AGCUAGUUGGCGGUGUAAUAGACCACCAAGGCUAAGACGGGUAGCUGGUCUGAGAGGAUGACCAGCCACACUGGGACUGAGACACGGCCCAGACUCCUACGGAGGCAGCAGUGGGGAAUAUUGGACAAUGGGCGAAAGCCUGAUCCAGCCAUGCCGCGUGAGUGAUGAAGGUCUUCGGAUCGUAAAGCUCUGUGGGAAGGGACGAAAAAGCCUAACCUAAUACGUUAGGUCUUGACGGUACCUUCUUAGCAAGCACCGGCUAACUCCGUGCCAGCAGCCGCGGUAAUACGGAGGGUGCAAACGUUGCUCGGAAUUAUUGGGCGUAAAGCGCACGUAGGCGGUCCGCUAAGUCGGAUGUGAAAGCCCUCGGCUUAACCGAGGAAGUGCAUCCGAAACUGACGGGCUAGAGUACGGAAGAGGGUUUCGGAAUUCCCGGUGUAGAGGUGAAAUUCGUAGAUAUCGGGAGGAACACCAGUGGCGAAGGCGGAAACCUGGGCCGAUACUGACGCUGAGGUGCGAAAGCGUGGGGG